rnacentral:siRNA from 1 species
UGCCCGGACCCUGUCGCACCAC